rnacentral:lncRNA from 1 species
GCCCCCCAGCUCAGGGCUGGUGUCCUUGCCCCACAGAAAAUUGAUCUGCAACUGCCUGGGGCCAGCCCAGAGUUGAACAGAUUUAAAUCUUUUCUUAACCCUUUCUUCUGAUGUCCUCCUGUCCUUGCACACCGGAGGCAGUACCUUUUUCACCUUCCACUUAGUUUCUGCCUUCAGGCUCCUUAUCUGCAACUACAUAAAUGCCUGAAUGCACAGAAUCUCUUCCACAGACUCUUCCUCGGACAAAACCAACUCCAGUUGGAGUUGUAAACUAAUCCAGAUUGUAAACUAACCCAGAAAACCAUUCAAAGUCCAGGUUGUGUUACAGUAAAACCUCUUUCUCUUACACAGGCUCAUAUCUAUAGGUGACCAUUCAGAUCUUUCUUCCCAAGAGACUACCAGUAAGAUCGACACUGCAUAGCCCAUGUAUUAAAGGGUAUAAACCUGUAAGAUGGCCCUUUCAGCCAAGAUCUUUCCCAAGAGACUACCUAUAGGAUCAAUAUAACACUGCCCAUGCCUUAAAGGACCAAUAAGAGAUCUCUGGCUACUACUUAUAGGUGGCCCUUUCUUCUACUUACUUUAUCUUUGACAGACAAACUCCAACUGAAAGAUUGUCUGCAAGAUUGUACAAAAAAGUAACUCAGAGACAGAUAACCAGAGAGGAUCCCCAAACACAGACUACAGAUGGGAACUUUUAAGACAGACCAGCCAAGAUCUUUCCCAAGAGACUACCUAUGAGAUCAAUUCAGCAUUGCUCAUGUCUUAAAAGGGGCAGUAACAGAUAAAAACAAAAACACAACCAAAGGAAAUUCCCAUACUCCAGGUCAAACAGAUGUGAACCUAGAACAAACCGGAAGUGAGUAAGUUCUCAACUCUUGACUUAACUGAGACUCCUACAACAGCAGUGCCACAGAUGUCCCCACAAAGAGGAACCAGAUGUUCCCCAAAACAGAAACCAGAUGUGUGGAAUCAAGGGUCUCAAGUGCACAUGGG